rnacentral:rRNA from 1 species
AGGCCUAACACAUGCAAGUCGAACGGUAACAGGAAGCAGCUUGCUGCUUUGCUGACGAGUGGCGGACGGGUGAGUAAUGUCUGGGAAACUGCCUGAUGGAGGGGGAUAACUACUGGAAACGGUGGCUAAUACCGCAUAACGUCGCAAGACCAAAGAGGGGGACCUUCGGGCCUCUUGCCAUCAGAUGUGCCCAGAUGGGAUUAGCUUGUUGGUGAGGUAACGGCUCACCAAGGCGACGAUCCCUAGCUGGUCUGAGAGGAUGACCAGCCACACUGGAACUGAGACACGGUCCAGACUCCUACGGGAGGCAGCAGUGGGGAAUAUUGCACAAUGGGCGCAAGCCUGAUGCAGCCAUGCCGCGUGU